rnacentral:rRNA from 1 species
UACAGAGGUCCCAAGCGUUGUUCGGAUUCACUGGGCGUAAAGGGUGCGUAGGCGGUCGGGUAAGUCUGGCGUGAAAUCUCCAAGCCUAACUUGGAAACUGCGUUGGAUACUAUCCGGCUCGAGGAAUGGAGGGGAGACUGGAAUACUUGGUGUAGCAGUGAAAUGCGUAGAUAUCAAGUGGAACACCAGUGGCGAAGGCGAGCCUCUGGACAUUUCCUGACGCUGAGGCACGAAAGCCAGGGGAGCAAACGGG